CAGAUAUUUAUUACAGUGAGCGGUCACUGUACCGAUUUUCCUCCUUCUGUAAAGAAACAGAAGUACCCUCAAGUAUCAUCUACGGCCAUACCCCCACUGGAGAAAGAAAAUCAAACUACACGGAACUUCCAUACAGUGAGUAUAUUAUUUUUUUUAUGAAUGUUUUAUGAUAAACGCUAUACAUUAAAAUAUCUAAUAUUUUUUAUUUUUUAGAGAUUGUGGAAUUCUGUGUUAUUUUAUACGAGAGACGGCGCGGAUCAAGGGGGGUCUGUCAAGAGACAAUCUACGAAAGACCUGAAUCAGCAGGCAUUACAGAUUCAGAGCAAGGUAUCGAAAUAAAGCACCGUUGAGUAUCAGUACCGAACACCAAGUACCGGUACCGGUACCGAUAUCGGUUCAAAUGUGAAAGGUACCCAACCCUAUUCACCACCACCAUGGGGAUGUACUGAGAACAGCCUCCUGUCCUCAUUGACUGAAUUGGAAUCCCAGCAACCCCUGCGGUGCCUGGUGAUUUCAUGCCUUCUCCCACUCACCUAUUGUCCACCAGUCAGAAGCAUUUUGUCUUACUGAAAAGUGCUAAGAUCUUUGCACCACUCCCAUAUUCCUCCUGACAGGGCACAGAUUUUACGCUACACUUUGACCUGCCAAUAACCAGAUGGCAAGUAUAAGCCUCAGCUGUCUGAUCUGCCCUUGGAAAAUGGAAAAGCAUCUUGAAUGUGGCACUCAUUCAGCUCGCUGCUUUCGAAACACAUCCAAGGUCGUCCAUCUUCCCAGCGGCCAACAAGAAUAGACAAAACAGCACGGCUUCUCGCAAGGCUCACAUAACCCAUCCUUCUCAGUUUCACUAAACUUACUUAUGUCUUAAUAUUGUGCUAAAAGUUAGAAAUAAACACAGAUAAAGUUAUGAGUGUGAAUGGUUUCCGUGCAAUUUUCCCUCCAUUAGUACUGUAUUAUGC